rnacentral:rRNA from 1 species
GAUGAACGCUGGCGGCGUGCCUAAUACAUGCAAGUCGAGCGAACGGACGAGAAGCUUGCUUCUCUGAUGUUAGCGGCGGACGGGUGAGUAACACGUGGAUAACCUACCUAUAAGACUGGGAUAACUUCGGGAAACCGGAGCUAAUACCGGAUAAUAUUUUGAACCGCAUGGUUCAAAAGUGAAAGACGGUCUUGCUGUCACUUAUAGAUGGAUCCGCGCUGCAUUAGCUAGUUGGUAAGGUAACGGCUUACCAAGGCAACGAUGCAUAGCCGACCUGAGAGGGGGUUCGGCCACACUGGACCUGAGACACGGUCCAGACCCCUACGGGAGGCAGCAGUAGGGAAUCUUCCGCAAUGGGCGAAAGCCUGACGGAGCAACGCCGCGUGAGUGAUGAAGGUCUUCGGAUCGUAAAACUCUGUUAUUAGGGAAGAACAUAUGUGUAAGUAACUGUGCACAUCUUGACGGUACCUAAUCAGAAAGCCACGGCUAACUACGU